CCCUGGGUGGCUCAGCCGGUUAAGCAUCUGACUUCGGCUCAGGUCAUGAUCUCACAGUUUGUGGGUUCAAGCCCCACACUGGGCU
rnacentral:tRNA from 1 species